CUUGAUCGAGCCGAGAAACAGCGGCUGGUCGCCGGACCGCUGCUGGCCAUAGGUCGCCAGCAGCGCCUCGGCCUC
rfam:Frankia inefficax strain EuI1c chromosome, complete genome.